UACGUAGGCAGCGAGCGUUGUUCGGAAUUACUGGGCGUAAAGAGUGUGUAGGCGGUGCUCUAAGUUCGGUGUGAAAUCUCCUGGCUUAACUGGGAGGGUGCGCCGGAAACUGGAGUGCUCGAGCGUGGGAGAGGAAAGCGGAAUUCCUGGUGUAGCGGUGAAAUGCGUAGAUAUCGGGAGGAACACCUAUUGCGAAGGCAGCUCGCUGGGACGUAACUGACGCUGAGACGCGAAAGCGUGGGGAGCAAACAGG
rnacentral:rRNA from 1 species